CCUCUGGCACCACGGUGGAUGGUGACCGCAGGGCCACCAAGAAGACUCGGCCGACCUGCCCAGGACAGAGCCCCACCUGCCGGGCCUUCUUCCAGGACCCCCGUUCCAGCUUGGGGAACUGCUUCUGGGUGUUUGAGAUUUUGUCUAAGCCAGCACUAGGCUGCCAAAGACUUCAAACUCCUUCACCUUCUACUCUAAUUCCAGCUCCUUGAUAAAGGCAAGAUUCUUGGCUGGGACAGAAUAACCAGCAUGGAAUGCCAGGAAACUCAGAACGGCACGUGCUUCAAAUGCAGGGAAGAAGAGCUAUUUGCCAUUGCACUCAAAAUACUUCUGAGGACGUGAAACUCUC